GAACGCUGGCGGCGUGCUUAACACAUGCAAGUCGAACGAUGAACCACUUCGGUGGGGAUUAGUGGCGAACGGGUGAGUAACACGUGGGCAAUCUGCCCUGCACUCUGGGACAAGCCCUGGAAACGGGGUCUAAUACCGGAUACGAGCCUCCUCCGCAUGGUGGGGGUUGGAAAGCUCCGGCGGUGCAGGAUGAGCCCGCGGCCUAUCAGCUUGUUGGUGAGGUAACGGCUCACCAAGGCGACGACGGGUAGCCGGCCUGAGAGGGCGACCGGCCACACUGGGACUGAGACACGGCCCAGACUCCUACGGGAGGCAGCAGUGGGGAAUAUUGCACAAUGGGCGAAAGCCUGAUGCAGCGACGCCGCGUGAGGGAUGAAGGCCUUCGGGUUGUAAACCUCUUUCAGCAGGGAAGAAGCGAAAGUGACGGUACCUGCAGAAGAAGCGCCGGCUAACUACGUGCCAGCAGCCGCGGUAAUACGUAGGGCGCAAGCGUUGUCCGGAAUUAUUGGGCGUAAAGAGCUCGUAGGCGG
rnacentral:rRNA from 1 species